ensembl:lincRNA
AAAAGCAAAAUUCAGGAUACUUUUGUAGGUAGACACGUCAGAUAUUAUACAAAAUUAGCUUAAAUAUUCAAACACUGUAAAAUGAGAGGCAGAUAGGAUAUUGUCUCCAAAGAGGACAUAGUGAAAACGAUACUUUGAAAUGACAAAUAGUCAAAUAUGGGCAUAACUUUUUCAUAUUAGAGAAACCUUAUUGCCUAGACAAAUGUAGUAGUAGUGUGUAUUUUACUUCUAAGAAUUUAGUGACUAAAGUACAGUGCCUUCCCCAUCAUGUUCUCAUAAUAAAAGCUCAUAUUCUGUGAACAUUUUACACUUUUUUUGAGAUGGAGUCUCCCUCUGGCACCCAGGCUGGAGUGCAGUUGUGCCAUCUCGGCUCGCUGUAAGCUCUGCCUGCUGAGUUCAAGCAAUUCUCCUGCCUCAGCUUCCUGAGCAGCUGGGAUUACAGGCACCUGCCGCCACGCCCGGCUAAUUUUUGUAUUUUUAGUAGAGACAGGCUUUCACUAUGUUGGCCAGGCUGGUCUCAAACUCCUGACCUCAAGUAAUCUGCUGGCCUCGGCCUCUCAAAGUGUUGAGAUUACAGGCGUGAGCCACUGCGUCUGGCCUACACUUUUUAAUUCUCUGAUUUCAUGAAGAGUUCUUAACUCCCCCCAGCUAAUGCUAAAAAUGUGUCCUGGUUCUUACACAGGCACUGCUAGUAACGUGGCAACCUGAGCCUGUUCCCAGGCUCAAUUCACAGGAGCCCAUGUUCAGCGGUUAUUUAAUAGCUUUGAAAUGCCAUUCACCUGUGGCCCAUUUCAAGUUUCCCAUGAUUCUUAGGAAGACCCUGGCCUCCAUCUUGAAAACGGAAAAUAAAAACAGCAGACCUAUGAAGGUCGAAGGGGAAGAAAAGCUGUAUCGAUUGUUGAGAUCUGGCGACUUGUUUAAAUUUCAUCAGCCUCACUUCUAUGAACUCUCAGGAAAUUCUUCCUGGAAUCCUGUAGUAAACUUUCAGA